AUUGAACGCUGGCGGCAGGCCUAACACAUGCAAGUCGAGCGAGCGGCGGACGGGUGAGUAAUGUAUGGGGACUGCCCGAUAGAGGGGGAUAACUACUGGAAACGGUGGCUAAUACCGCAUACUAUCGGAUAACCCAUAUGGGAUUAGCUAGUAGGUGGGGUAAAGGCUCACCUAGGCGACGAUCGCUAGCUGGUCGGAGAGGAUGAUCAGCCGCACUGGGGCGGAAACGGGGCCCAGACGCCUACGGAGGCAGCAGUGGGGAAUAGUGCACAGUGGUCGCGAACCUGAUGCAGCCAUGCCGCGUGUGUGAAGAAGGCCUUAGGGUUGUAAAGUACUUUCAGCGGGGAGGCGUUACCCGCAGAAGAAGCACCGGCUAACUCCGUGCCAGCAGCCGCGGUAAUAC
rnacentral:rRNA from 1 species